rnacentral:rRNA from 1 species
AAAGGGUGCGCAGGCGGAUAUAUAAGUUAGAUGUGAAAUACUCGAGCUCAACUUGAGAAUGGCAUUUAAGACUGUAUGUCUAGAGUUUGUCAGAGGGGGGUAGAAUUCCAAGUGUAGCAGUGAAAUGCGUAGAGAUUUGGAGGAAUACCGGUGGCGAAGGCGGCCCCCUGGGAUAGAACUGACGCUCAUGCACGAAAGCGUGGGUAGCAAACAGGAUUAGAUACCCGUGU